rnacentral:rRNA from 1 species
CCUACGGGUGGCAGCAGUGGGGAAUAUUGCGCAAUGGGCGAAAGCCUGACGCAGCGACGCCGCGUGGGUGAUGAAGGCCUUCGGGUUGUAAAGCCCUGUCGGGUGGAACGAACGAUCUGGCGGCGAAUAACCGCCGGGUGUGACGGUACCACCGAAGGAAGCCCCGGCUAACUACGUGCCAGCAGCCGCGGUAAGACGUAGGGGGCGAGCGUUGUGCGGGUUUACUGGGCGUAAAGCGCGCUGAGGCGGCCCUCGGCGUGACCGAGGUCCGGCAUCAGAUACUGUCUGGCUCGAGUCUAGGAGAGGAAAGCGGAAUUCCCAGUGUAGCGGUGAAAUGCGUAGAUAUUGGGAGGAACACCGGUGGCGAAGGCGGCUUGCCGGACUAGAACUGACGCUGAGGCGCGAAAGCUAGGGGAGCGAACGGGAUUAGAUACCCGAGUAGUC